rnacentral:misc_RNA from 1 species
GAUGAAGAACGUAGCGAAAUGCGAUAAGUACUGUGAAUUGCAGAAUUCAGUGAAUCAUCGAAUCUUUGAACGCACAUUGCGCCCCUUGGUAUUCCGGGGGGCAUGCCUCUUCCAGCGUCAUUUCACCCCUCAAGCUCUGCUUGGUUUUGGGCCGCGCCGGCAACGGCGGGCCUCGAAAAUAGUGGCGACGCCAUCGUGCUCUCAGCGUAGUAAUUCUUCUCGCUGUUGGGUCCCGGUGGUCGUCCGCCAGCAACCCCCAACUUUCUUAAGUUUGACCUGGGAUGAGGUAGGGAUACCCGCUGAACUUAAGCAUAUCAAUAAGCGGAGGA